rnacentral:rRNA from 1 species
UACGGGGGGAGCAAGCGUUGUUCGGAUUUACUGGGCGUAAAGGGCGCGUAGGCGGUCAGCACAAGUCAGUUGUGAAAUCUCCGGGCUUAACUCGGAAAGGUCAACUGAUACUGUGCGACUAGAGUGCAGAAGGGGCAACUGGAAUUCUCGGUGUAGCGGUGAAAUGCGUAGAUAUCGGGAGGAACACCGGUGGCGAAGGCGGAACUCUGGGCCGGAACUGACGCUGAGGAGCGAAAGCGUGGGGAGCGAACAGG